CCCGCUGAACUUAAGCAUAUCAAUAAGCGAAGGAAAAGAAACUAACAAGGAUUCCCUGAGUAAUGGCGAAUGAAACGGGAAAAGUUCAUAUUUUAAAUCUGGCGUCGUUUCGGCGUCCGAAUUGUAAAGUAAAGUCUGGUCGACAAAUAUGGCCGCGGCGCUAAAUCCUCUGGAAAGGGGUAUCAGAGAGGGUGAAAAUCCCGUCUGUGCGUCGAUGGCGGUACGUGUUCGGCUAGUCAAAGAGUCGGGUUGUUUGGGAUUGCAACUCAAAUUAGGUGGUAAAUUUCAUCUAAAACUAAAUAUCAACAGAAAACCAAUAGCAAACAAGUACCGUGAGGGAAAGAUGAAAAGAACUUUGAAAAGAGAGUUAAAAGUAUGUGAAAUUGCUGGUAGGGAAAUGGUUGGGCGGACCGCGGCGCUUAAAGGUUUCGGCCUCAAUGUGCCAUCAGCGUGACUUGGGCGAGGGUCUUGGUCUGCACGCUACUCUUCGGGGUGUUUGCGGAUUUUAAUUCCUUUAUUCGAGUCAGGUUUCAAUUUGCCUUGGCGGAAGGUGCGGCGGAGAUUUAUCGAAGCCGUAUUUUCUCUCAAAAUAAUGACGCUGAUUAGGUUGCCUAACCAACCCGUCUUGAAACACGG
rnacentral:rRNA from 1 species